AACGCGAAGAACCUUACCUGCUCUUGACAUCUCUGGAAUCCCGUAGAGAUAUGGGAGUGCCGAAAGGAACCAGAAGACAGGUGCUGCAUGGCUGUCGUCAGCUCGUGUUGUGAGAUGUUGGGUUAAGUCCCGUAACGAGCGCAACCCUUAUCCUUAGUUGCCAGCGCGUAAUGGCGGGGACUCUAAGGAGACUGCCGGUGGUGAACCGGAGGAAGGUGGGGACGACGUCAAGUCAUCAUGGCCUUUAUGAGCAGGGCUACACACGUGCUACAAUGGGAUGUACAGAGAGUUGCCAACCCGCGAGGGGGAGCUAAUCUCAGAAAGCAUCUCACAGUCCAGAUCGAAGUCUGCAACUCGACUUCGUGAAGUCGGAAUCGCUAGUAAUCGCGAAUCAGAAUGUCGCGGUGAAUACGUUCCCGGGCCUUGUACACACCGAUACUC
rnacentral:rRNA from 1 species